rnacentral:tRNA from 4 species
GGAGAAGUGGCAGAGUGGUUGAAUGCACCGCACUCGAAAUGCGGCAUGGGUGCAAGCCCAUCGGGGGUUCGAAUCCCUCCUUCUCCGCCA